rnacentral:rRNA from 1 species
AUUGAACGCUGGCGGCAGGCCUAACACAUGCAAGUCGAGCGAGCGGCGGACGGGUGAGUAAUGUAUGGGGAUCUGCCCGAUAGAGGGGGAUAACUACUGGAAACGGUAGCUAAUCCCGCAUACCAUCGGAUGUGCCCCGAUGGGAUUAGCUUGUGGGGGGGGUAACGGCUCACCAAGGCGACGGUCCCUAGCUGGUCUGAGAGGCUGACCAGCCACACUGGAACUGAGACACGGUCCAGACUCCUACGGGAGGCAGCAGUGGGGAAUAUUGGACAAUGGGGGAAAGCCUGAUCCAGCCAUGCCGCGUGUAUGAAGAAGGCCUUCGGGUUGUAAAGUACUUUCAGCGGGGAGGCGUUACCCGCAGAAGAAGCACCGGCUAACUCCGUGCCAGCAGCCGCGGUAAUAC